UGGCUGGAAAGCCAGGCCCAGAGAAGGGUGGGAGGGGCAGAGGGCGGGGCUAGGGCCCUGGACCUGCCUCCCUCUCCUCUUCGCCCCCACACCCUUUCCGGCUCUUCCUUAAAGGUAAAAGGGCUGGGAUGGGGGGUAGGGGGGCGGGGGCCGGGGGUGAGUCAUCGGGACUGUCAGCGGGAGAGAUUUGGGCGUUGGCCUCACCUGCACCGACACCUUUCCAGGCCCCAGGCUGCCCCCUCAGGUUCAGGGCUUCUAUUACAUGCCUACCGUAGGUAGCUGUCCCAGUUUCUCAAAUCAGAUCCUCCUUCACCGUGUUCUUCCAGGGGUUGAGGAUGGCUUCAGCUACCUGGCCGCCAUGGGUCUAGGCGCCCGUAAAGCCAGGUGCAGGAGGAUGGGGUUCCCAGUCCUGCCAGAAUGGCUCUGACCAGCUGACUAGGCCAGCAUUGAGGAUAAGCCAGAUGUUCUCCUGCAGAUUCAUCACAGGCCCCAGCCCUGGAUCCCAAAUAAAGGUGGUACCAGACACUCAAAGGCAUCACCAACUGGAUGGACGUGAGUUUGAGUAAGCUCCGGGAGCUGGUGAUGAACAGGGAAGCCUGGUGUGCUGCCGUCCAUGGGGUUGCAAAGAGUCGGACACGACUGAGCUACCGAACUGAACUGAAGAGGAAAGACCACGUUUGGCUGAAAGAACAGAGGGCUGCCAGUUGGGGCCUCAGCAAAGAAAGAGCAAACAAAAACCAAACCAAAGCAAAUCAAUUCUUAAAAACAAAAAUUUUAUUACAAGCAGGAACAAAGAAUACUGGCUUAAAUAAAAGGCAGGUAGGAGUCCCCUCCUCUAGCCAGCUUCCUCCCCACCCCUCACUCCCACUUCAGCAGGGAGGGCCCAAGGGCCCUGAGGCUGGGGCGAAGUGGUUUCUCCCAGAGGGGACUUCGGGUGGUUGCGACUUCUCAGCUGCCUGUGACCCACCAGCCUCUGCAGCAAGGAAGGACAAGGUGCGGGGACUUCCUAUGUCCUUUUCAGCCCUCUUAGAGGGCCAAGGAGGGGGACAGAGGGACAAUUUCCUAUCUAUUUUGACAAGAAACUAUCGCUCCCAGGAGAGGAGGGCCAUCCUCUAAGUUUCUGGCCCAGAUUUAGGCCAACCUUCACUCAUUUCAGCCCACCCUGGUCCUUCCCGGAGGGAGGUCCUCAGUUGGCCAUGCUCUAGCCCCUGGCGCUGGGUCCCAUAGUCAAGAUCCAGGAGGAGGGGGUGUGGCAAGGCAGCCACUCCCCACAGCCAUUACCCCAUCCACCUGACCAGGCCCCAGCCUGUCUGGGCAGGUCCCAGCUGGAAGCCUGACCUGGGGGCUGGGUGGCUGAGUCCCAGCCACUGUUUGAGGUCCUUGGAGGAGGGCAAGAAGGAUGGGCUGGGCUGCAGCAGGAGCCCAGGGGUCUCCUGUGACCAACGCACACACUCCCCGUCCCCAGGGCUCAGGCUGCUCCUGCUGCUGCCACCACCGGCUGGCACCCAAGGGCGAUGGCGGAGAGUGAGGCAACCCAGGGGGUGCGGGAGCCAGUCACAUUCAUACCAGAGCACACACGCGCGCGCACACACACACUCACUCACAGCCAGAAGGUCUCUUGUAAUAAACUUAUUAAAACCAAGGUGCCUUCUGAUAACCCUUCACCUGGCACUACAUAGAUAGCAAUGUGGCUGACUUUUUUUUUUCUUCCGUAAAAAAAUGCUAUGUAGAAAAAAGGUCUAUAAAAUUGUGCAAAAUACCCAGCAUUAAUAAACCCGUUUCAAGUA